rnacentral:rRNA from 1 species
GAUCAUGGCUCAGAUUGAACGCUGGCGGCAGGCCUAACACAUGCAAGUCGAGCGGCAGCGGGAAAGUAGCUUGCUACUUUUGCCGGCGAGCGGCGGACGGGUGAGUAAUGCCUGGGAAAUUGCCCAGUCGAGGGGGAUAACAGUUGGAAACGACUGCUAAUACCGCAUACGCCCUACGGGGGAAAGCAGGGGACCUUCGGGCCUUGCGCGAUUGGAUAUGCCCGCGUCGGAUUAGCUAGUUGGUGGGGUAACGGCCUACCAAGGCGACGAUCCGUAGCUGAUCUUAGAGGAUGAUCAGCCACACUGGGACUGAGACACGGUCCAGACUCCUACGGGAGGCAGCAGUGGGGAAUUUUGGACAAUGGACGCAAGUCUGAUCCAGCCAUUCCGCGUGCAGGAUGAAGGCCCUCGGGUUGUAAACUGCUUUUGUACGGAACGAAAAGGUUUCUAUUAAUACUAGGAGCUCAUGACGGUACCGUAAGAAUAAGCACCGGCUAACUACGUG